rnacentral:rRNA from 10 species
AAAAGUCGUAACAAGGUUUCCGUAGGUGAACCUGCGGAAGGAUCAUU